UACGUAGGGUGCGAGCGUUAAUCGGAAUUACUGGGCGUAAAGUGUGCGCAGGCGGCGCUGCAAGUCGGAGUCGUCGAAAUCCCCGAGCUUAACUUCGGGAAUUGCGCUCGAAACUACGGCGCUGGAGUAUGGCAGAGGAAGGUGGAAUUCCACGUGUAGCGGUGAAAUGCGUAGAGAUGUGGAGGAACACCGAUGGCGAAGGCAGCCUUCUGGGCCAAUACUGACGCUCAUGCACGAAAGCGUGGGGAGCAAACAGG
rnacentral:rRNA from 1 species